rnacentral:rRNA from 1 species
GCCGCGGUAAACGUAGGGGACAAGCGUUAUCCGGAUUCGCUGGGCGUAAAGAGCGUUGAGGCGGUUCCGUAAGUUGGGCGUGAAAGCUCCGGGCUUAACCCGGAGAUGUCGUUCAAUACUGCGGGGCUUGAGGACAGCAGAGGAAGGUGGAAUUCCCGGUGUAGUGGUGAAAUGCGUAGAUAUCGGGAGGAACACCCGUGGCGAAGGCGGCCUUCUGGGCUGUUCCUGACGCUGAAGGCGAAAGCUAGGGGAGCGAACGGGAUUAGAUACCCCGGUAGUCCUAGCUGUAAACGAUGGAUGCUGGGUGUGGGGGGUGUAAAUUCCCUCUGUGCCGAAGCAAACGCGUUAAGCAUCCCGCCUGGGGACUACGGCCGCAAGGCUAAAACUCAAACGAAUUGACGGGGGCCCGCACAAGCAGCGGAGCGUGUGGUUUAAUUCGAUGCUACACGAAGAACCUUACCUGGGUUUGACAUGCACGUGGUAGGGAACCGAAAGGGGACCGACCUUCGGGAGCGUGCACAGGUGCUGCAUGGCUGUCGUCAGCUCGUGCCGUGAGGUGUCGGGUUAAGUCCCGUAACGAGCGCAACCCUUGCCCUUAGUUACAAGUGUCUAAGGGGACUGCCCGGGACAACUGGGAGGAAGGUGGGGAUGACGUCAAGUCAGCAUGGCCUUUAUAUCCAGGGCUACACACACGCUACAAUGGCCAGUACAAUAGGUAGCCAAGUCGUGAGACGGAGCCAAUCCUUAAAGCUGGUUUCAGUUCGAAUUGCAGUCUGCAACUCGACUGCAUGAAGCGGGAGUUGCUAGUAAUCGCAGGUCAGCCAUACUGCGGUGAA